rnacentral:tRNA from 1 species
CAGAGAGUAGUUUAAGUAAAAUAUUAAUUUUGGGAAUUAAUGAUAAGGAUUUUCUUUUUCUCUGA